GAUGAACGCUGGCGGUGUGCCUAAUACAUGCAAGUCGAGCGAACAGAUAAGGAGCUUGCUCCUUUGACGUUAGCGGCGGACGGGUGAGUAACACGUGGGUAACCUACCUAUAAGACUGGGAUAACUUCGGGAAACCGGAGCUAAUACCGGAUAAUAUUUCGAACCGCAUGGUUCGAUAGUGAAAGAUGGUUUUGCUAUCACUUAUAGAUGGACCCGCGCCGUAUUAGCUAGUUGGUAAGGUAACGGCUUACCAAGGCGACGAUACGUAGCCGACCUGAGAGGGUGAUCGGCCACACUGGAACUGAGACACGGUCCAGACUCCUACGGGAGGCAGCAGUAGGGAAUCUUCCGCAAUGGGCGAAAGCCUGACGGAGCAACGCCGCGUGAGUGAUGAAGGUCUUCGGAUCGUAAAACUCUGUUAUUAGGGAAGAACAUACGUGUAAGUAACUGUGCACGUCUUGACGGUACCUAAUCAGAAAGCCACGGCUAACUACGUG
rnacentral:rRNA from 1 species